AUAAUUAAUUCCAUUAUUAUCUCAUAUUUUGUUUGUUUACCAACCUCAGAUAUAAAAUUUAUUUUUAAGUCAUCAGUUAAUUUUUAAUGAUCUUUUGUGAAGAGGUGUUCAUUUGUGGACAAAUGAAAAAAAAUCUAGUCUGAACAAAAAUAGAUAUAACUUUCUUUUAAAAGAAUGUUCAUUAUGUUCACUGGUACAUAAAUACAAAUGUGAGUUUUGUGAUGAAUAAAAUAAUUAUCUUCUAGUUGUAUGCUUGAAUCAUUUUAUUAGAUAAUUUAAUGUGAAUUUUUAUUCCAAAUAACAAUUAGAUGAAAAUUUCUUCAUACUAUCAUAUUUCUUUUAAAGUCACAAAUUUGUUCUUUCCAUUUUAUUUGCCUUUAAAGAUAAUUUCCAGGUACAAACAGAAAUUGCAUGAUAUACCUAAUCAAAAAAGUUUUACUUGUAGUUAACCAUCUAUGAAGAAUGAAUCACGGUAAAUAUGUCACCUUUUUAAGCACUACAAUAUAAAGUUUCAAGAACUGAAAAUCAUUGUGAAAGUGAAUGCAGUCACUGAUCUUAAUCUAAGAAUAUGAUUAAUUAUCUAAGUGGUGGUAAAUUGUGUUAUAAGAAGAGGCCUCAAUAGGGCAAAAAUAGCUGUUGAACACAACAUAACAAUGUUUAUUUUUUAAAUAAAAAGGUAUUAAUUAAAAACUAUUGUUGCAAAUAUGUAUAAUUCUAAAGUAGUCCCUAAAGCAAAUUAUACAGAUCAUUUGCCUGCUUAAAGGAAUAAAUAAACCUCUUUAUUUCUCCUCAACGUGCACAAACAGAAAAGUGUGUAACACCAAAACCAUCUUCUGUGUUCAUGGUCAAGCUAUUCUAUGUACAGAGUUGAAAGUACAAUCGUUUCAGAGUCAAAAGACAGGGGAAACCACACAGGACCUCUUGCUUCAUAUAAAUGAUAAGGGUGUUUAAUUUUGUAAUGUUAUUUGUGCUAUUUAAUACAUUUUACUUUAACAUUAUUGAAUUGUAUAUACUUUUAUUACUUUUAAAAUUAUAGAAAUCCUUGUUGAACAGAACUGCCAAAUGUAAAGAAAAUUUUCUUUUUAAAAAAUAUUGUUAAUGUAUACUGAAUGUUGGUGGUAGAUUGGCUUUAUUUUGUGUAGAUUGACAAUUUGAAGACAAUAUGUUUCCCAUUUGUAUUAUAGAUAACAUUUCCUAGAAAAGCACUUUUUCAAAGUGUAGGUUUGUGAAUAGAUUUUAGCAUGAUGAAACUGUCAUUGCAGUGAAUGUUCACUCUGUGUAAGAAAAUAAGAUCAAUGUAGUUAGUAAAUUAAUAUUUAAUUGGAUGUUGAAUAAAGCAUUUGCCUGGCAAAAUUUAGAUUUUGGGAUUUCUUCUAUUUCUGAGCAUGCAAUCUGUAGAAAGGAAAGUAGAGACAAAGGUUAUGACAGAAAUUAAAAGUGAUCCCAACAGAUCUUUCAGUCUGAGGAUUCUGUACUACUCCCCAGUUGCCUCUAUCUCCCUUGCUUAUAUUUCAACUUAACCUUAAUUUUAAGUAAUUUUAAUAUAUCCUGUAUAAUUAUAAUGCAUUUCUAAAGCUUUAUAUUUCCUACCUAUGUGAAGAACAAUUUUGAGAAAAAGAUGACAGUUUUCCUAUAUCUAUUCUUCUAGCUGAAGUCGAGAAACUGCGCAUCUUUGUUUAAGUCUAGACAAGGAAAUAAGCAGACUAAGUAAAACUGUUUUCUUAACAAGAGGCUUUGGGAACUUUAUGGAAUUUUAUACAUGAUGACAAAGCUGUGGAGGACGGUUGUGGAAAAAAAUUUUAUUCUUUUUCUUAAUUUAUAACACCAACCUUUUAUUCAAUAACCUCAUUCCACAAGAAUACAAUCCCUUCUGCAAAAUCAAAACCAAUUACAACAAAUUCCAUAUAUGUGCUAUUUGGUGAACUUAAUUGCCAAUGAAUUGUUUUUCCUAAGGGGCCUCUGGUAUAGAUUUCAAUUUUCAUGGUUUCAUCACAAGGUUACUUUGAUAUAGCACAAAUAUUGAGAAUUGGAAGGACUAGCUCCAAGAUAAAAAAAAAAAUAUAUGCCAUCUUCACUCUACUGACUAAUGCAUUUGUCUAUUCACCUCAUAAAACAAUGCUUUCCCCUCAGUUUGAAUUGUGUAUUUCUCAGGGCUAUUAUGUUGCCAUGCUUGAGUGUUACUUACAUAAAAUGCUAUUAAAGAAUGACAUUAUAACAAA